rnacentral:lncRNA from 1 species
AAUGCCUCCAUCUCCUUUCUUUCUUACAUCCCAAUAUCCAGAUCUGAUAGAGAUGAGAUCUAAGAGAAAAAAAGAGAGAGAAGAAGAGAAGAAAAAGGGUUCUUCUUUUCUUCAUAGUGAUCUGAUUCAGAUCCCGUCGGAACUAUGCGAAAGAGUUCGCGCAGCGAUCUCUUUCUUCAAGAUCUAGAAAAAGAGAUCUAGAUCC